rnacentral:rRNA from 1 species
CAGCAGCCACGGUAAUACGUAGGGUGCAAGCGUUAAUCGGAAUUACUGGGCGUAAAGCGUGCGCAGGCGGUUAUGCAAGACAGAUGUGAAAUCCCCGGGCUCAACCUGGGAACUGCAUUCGUGACUGCAUGACUAGAGUACGGCAGAGGGGGAUGGAAUUCCGCGUGUAGCAGUGAAAUGCGUAGAUAUGCGGAGGAACACCGAUGGCGAAGGCAAUCCCCUGGACCUGUACUGACGCACAUGCACGAAAGCGUGGGGAGCAAACAGGAUUAGAUACCCCUGUAGUCCCUGUCUCUUAUAC